AAACGACUCUUGGCAACGGAUAUCUCGGCUCUUGCAUCGAUGAAGAACGUAGCGAAAUGCGAUACUUGGUGUGAAUUGCAGAAUCCCGUGAAUCAUCGAGUCUUUGAACGCAAGUUGCGCCCGAAGCCUUUUGGCCGAGGGCACGUCUGCCUGGGCGUCAUGA
rnacentral:rRNA from 1 species